rnacentral:rRNA from 1 species
CAGCUCGUCAUGCUAGAGCACUUUUUCAAUGUGCUCCCCAACGACAAGACGACGACGCAUUCGUAUGUCAAUCCAUAUCAACUUUCGAUUCCAUUUACUGUGCCUACCAUGGUGACCACGGGUAACAGGGAAUCAGGGUUCGAUUCCAUACAGGGAACCUGACAAACGGCUACCACAUGCAAGGAAGGCAGCAGGCACGCAAAUGACCCACUCCCGACGUGGGACAGUAGUGA